CACCUUAAAAUAACCAGGUAAUAUGGGACAUUGUAAUAUCCAUUCCUGGUUCUUUUUAAUAAUUGUCUGAAAGGUGGUCAAUAUUUGAGUGUAAUGCUCAAAUGCACAUUAGCUAUUUACACAACCAAGAAGUGCUAUAAACAUUUGAUUGGUGCAUUUUUGGAUAACAUAUAUAUGUGAGAGUUAAGUGGCAUUUAAAAGCUUGGUGAUUUGCAGUCUUCCAUAUCAAAUGUGGUCUUUUAUGCUACAAAGUUUUAAGUAAUACAUCUCUCAAAACUGACCCUUAAACAUGUUAUAUAUGAUUAUGAAGCUAUAUAUAUUCAUAAGGCUAUAAAUACAAUUUUUUGAAAAAACUAUUUUGUGUUAAUAUUAUCUGUCAAAGAACCAUGCAUUGAACAGUGCAGAUCAUGCGAAUCAAGCAUUAAACUGUGCAGAUAAUUUAGAGCUAUAAUUAUACACAAUAUGUAUUGCAAGGCAGGUUUUAAUCAGAAAUCAAUGUUAAAAAAUUUGACCUUUUGAAUUAAUAUUUUUGAGGGCUCAUGAAAGUUAAAUUUUCAUGUAUGAAAAAUAAUUAAUUUAUAUGUCUUUUCCAUUGUCCCACUUGGAAACCUCAAUAACAUUUAUACAAAAUCACCAACAACAUCAAAUCAUGGAUUAAUUAAACUGAAGAAAUAAGUGUUUGUUAGCUACCACAGAAUAUGUUCAUAAAUUAAUAAAGCCAAAAACAUUACUGAUAGUAUCCUAACAUUAACUUUCAUUUUAAAUUUUGACAGUUGAUUUUAAAAUCAAGACAAACUGAGUCAACUAAUCAAGAAAAAGAAAACCUCAUGAUGUGGGUUGAAUUGCCAGGGACACCUAUGCUAAGACUUCAGGUCUUUAUACAGCUCAGUGGCCGGGUCUUUCUUGGCGAAAUAUUUGCAAAGUACACACGAAGCCCUCGCUUGCUCCGUAAAAAGUUCUCUUUCUCGGUACUUUUCAUUCGAAAAUUGUAAACUUAGUAGAGGACUUGCGAUUUUGGAUGCGAAAAGCUGGAUUUGGCGACUAGUGCGAGCUAUUUUAAGAAGCAGUAGAAGGAGUCCACAAUGCCCGGUAGAGGGUAGAAGAAGCAAUGCCAAUGGGAAACUCAAACACAAAUUUCAAUACAAGAAAGCCCUAACCAGGCCCUAACCUAGCGAAACGAUGUUGAAAACAACCCCAAAAUAACUGUUCAAUUCUCAAUGGACGAAGCAACUUACCAUGAUGCAGUAAAUCUAGAUUGAAGACUUGUUUCGUGCAAUUGGCACAACAGGAAACCUCCGAAAAUUUUACUACGAGGAAAAUUGUAAAAGAAGAAACGUGGAUCAGUAUUGCUUAUACAGCCAAGUCAUCAUCUUGGUAGAGUGAGUCUUAGCUUAGUAGAACUCUAGUAGAACUGAACAACCAGUGUCUUAAUGACUAUACCAUUAUGUUUUAGGCAUGCAUGGUACUCCACUUAAAAACAUUUUCUAAGUUUUUUGCAAAUGUGCAUGUGUGUUAAAGUGUAAAUAAAAAGUAUUAAAGAGCUAUACUAUAGAAGCAAUUCCUUUAAUGCGUAGUUGACUUGCUGUACUCAAACAGAAAUGUAAUUGAUCUCAUGUAUUCAAUAUUAUAAUAAUAUAAUAACGAUAUUUGUGCUGCAUUGUUUGUUGACU